UCCUAGAUAGCUCAGUUGGUAGAGCAUGCGACUCUUAAUCUCAGGGUCGUGGGGAUCAAGAACCAUAUUGGACA